rnacentral:rRNA from 1 species
UACGGAGGGGGCGAGCGUUAAUCGGAAUUACUGGGCGUAAAGUGUGCGCAGGCGGCGCCGCAAGUCGAGUGUGAAAGCCCCGGGCUCAACCUGGGAAUUGCAUUCGAGACUGCAUUGCUGGAGUACGGAAGAGGAGGGCGGAAUUCCCGGUGUAGCGGUGAAAUGCGUAGAUAUCGGGAGGAAUACCGAUGGCGAAGGCAGGUCUCUGGGCUGACACUGACGCUCAUGCACGAAAGCGUGGGGAGCAAACAGG